GACGAACGCUGGCGGCGUGCUUAACACAUGCAAGUCGAACGCUGAAGCUCAGCUUUUGUUGGGUGGAUGAGUGGCGAACGGGUGAGUAACACGUGAGUAACCUGCCUCCUUCUUUGGGAUAACGCCCGGAAACGGGUGCUAAUACUGGAUAUUCACUGGUCUUCGCAUGGGGGUUGGUGGAAAGGGUUUUUCUGGUGGGGGAUGGGCUCGCGGCCUAUCAGCUUGUUGGUGGGGUGAUGGCCUACCAAGGCUUUGACGGGUAGCCGGCCUGAGAGGGUGACCAGUCACAUUGGGACUGAGAUACGGCCCAGACUCCUACGGGAGGCAGCAGUGGGGAAUAUUGCACAAUGGGCGCAAGCCUGAUGCAGCGACGCCGCGUGAGGGAUGGAGGCCUUCGGGUUGUGAACCUCUUUCGCUCAUGGUCAAGCCGCAACAAUGGUUGUGGUGAGGGUAGUGGGUAAAGAAGCGCCGGCUAACUACGUG
rnacentral:rRNA from 1 species